AAAGGUAGAGUCAGGUAUGAG
rnacentral:miRNA from 2 species